rnacentral:misc_RNA from 1 species
CACAGACUGUCCUUCAGGCGGUGAACGCCAACCUGACCUUGACGCUCGGCGCCAGCGCCAUCGAGAACGUCACCGGGGGGAGCCUGGAUGACCGCAUUCUCGGCAACGGUGUCAGCAAUGUGCUCUCGGGCGGGGCAGGCAACGACGUGCUCGUCGGCGGCGCGGGCUCGGACAAUCUUCAAGGCGGGACGGGGCUUGACCUCCUGAUCGGCGGCGCCGGCAGCGACACCGUGGCGGGUAACACCGGCGAGGAUAUUCUGAUCGGAGGCACAACGAGCCACGAUGCCAACAUUGCGGGUCUCAAUGCCCUCAUGGCAGAGUGGACACGUGCUCUGCCAUACCAGAGCCGAAUCGAUCACUUGACUGGCACGGCGGCCGGCGGCACCAAUGGUGCCUACUUCUUGAAGGGGCCGGGCGGCAAUCCAGCCGCGGCAUCCGUCUUUGAUGAUAGUUUCAAUGACACGUUACUGGGUGAAGGCACCGAUCUCGAUUGGUUUUUCGUCAGUGGCGGUGAUAGCAGUGACGAUGAAUCGGAUGAAACCGUGACGAACAUUAUUUAGGAUCUUAAGGUUCUAUAGUGGGUAAAGUACCAUCGAAAUCCUGCCUGUUUCAAAGCCGUGGUGGCAUGCAGGUAAGGACCUUCAGUCGCAGGUACUCGUCUUCUGGAAACCGUAGGGUUAGAGGACUUGUUUCGUUCGUUCCAACACGCGCGAGACUUGCACCUGGUUCCACGGCUACAGGCGGGCGCCCUGAGAUCGCGAUACUUUCUCGUUGGCCUGUCUCCAUCUCGAUUCGGUUGCGCUC